CGCGAGCUGGGUUUAGAACGUCGUGAGACAGUUCGGUCCCUAUCUGCCGUGGGCGUUUGAGAUUUGAGAGGAGCUGCUCCUAGUACGAGAGGACCGGAGUGGACGAACCUCUGGUGUUCCGGUUGUUACGCCAGUAGCAUUGCCGGGUAGCUAAGUUCGGACGGGAUAACCGCUGAAAGCAUCUAAGCGGGAAGCCUCCCUCAAGAUAAGUUCUCACAAAUCUUUAAGAUUUCUGAAGGGCCCUCGUAGACUACGAGGUUGAUAGGCGGGAUGUGGAAGCGCCGUGAGGCGUUAAGCUAACCCGUACUAAUUGCCCGUGCGACUUGACCAU
rnacentral:rRNA from 1 species